rnacentral:rRNA from 1 species
UUGGAGGGCAAGUCUGGUGCCAGCAGCCGCGGUAAUUCCAGCUCCAAUAGCGUAUAUUAAAGUUGUUGCAGUUAAAAAGCUCGUAGUUGAAUUUCGGGAUCAAUGUUUCGGUCAUGCCGUUGGUAUGUACUGAUAUUAUUGAUUUCUCACCUUCUAAAGAACCGUAAUGCCAUUAAUUUGGUGUCACGGGGAAUUAGGACUGUUACCUUGAAAAAAUUAGAGUGUUUAAAGCAGGCUCACGCUUGAAUACAUUAGCAUGGAAUAAUGAAAUAGGACAUCCGAUUCUAUUUUGUUGGUUUCUAGGAUCGAUGUAAUGAUUAAUAGGGAUAGUUGGGGGCAUUAGUAUUCAGUUGUCAGAGGUGAAAUUCUUGGAUUUAUUGAAGACUAACUACUGCGAAAGCAUUUGCCAAGGAUGUUUUCAUUAAUCAAGAACGAAAGUUAGGGGAUCGAAGACGAUCAGAUACCGUCGUAGUCUUAACCAUAAACUAUGCCGACUAGGGAUCGGAUGAUGUUAAUUUUUUAAUGACUCAUUCGGCGCCUUACGGGAAAC